rfam:Arthrobacter rhombi strain B Ar 00.02 genome assembly, contig: Scaffold15
CGGGAUGGCUGGACGAUCGCGUGUCGCGCAAGCGGCCCGAGGAACGUCCGGGCUCCACAGAACAGGGUGGUGGGUAACGCCCACUCGGGGUAACCCGCAGGAUAGUGCCACAGAAAACAGACCGCCCGCCUCGUGCGGGUCAGGGUGAAAAGGUGGUGUAAGAGACCACCAGCGCCCCAGGUGACUGGGGCGGCUCGGUAAACCCCACCCGGAGCAAGGCCAGACAGGCUGCGUAUGAGGGCUGUUCGCCCCAGUAGUCGGGUAGGCCGCGUGAGGGCAUCGGCAACGGUGCUCCUAGAUGGAUGAUCGUCACCGGCAAUCGGGUAACCGCUGCCGGUACAGAACCCGGCGUACAGGCCAUCCCGUCCC